rnacentral:lncRNA from 10 species
CAUGAGCCACCAUGCCCUGCCCUUCCUGCUCCUCUUGAGUAUGUCUAGUAAUUGACACACUUGGCUGUCCACACUUCUUGGCCUUACAGACACUGUGCUCUAUAACAUGACUCUUAGGUCUCUGCAGGGCAGCCCCCACUUGUUGCAGGCUGACGCUGCUGCCUCCUCCUCAGGCCCACCUUGCUUCCCAUGGCAUAGUGCUGGCCUUAGCCACUCCCAGAUACUUUCAUCACACUGGUGCUAUGAAGCCCUGCCCUGUAACUGUCCCCUGCUUUGAGCUUUGACCUAUGAAAAAUGACCAUCACUUGCAUCUCAGUGAUGCUAGUGUCCCUCUCACUACCGCAGUGCUCACCAGCCCUCCUCACCAUCCUAGUCAGCUACUGGGUUAUUUUCUUCUGUAAAAGGCACGUUCUGGCCUGGCGCGGUGCUGCAGACCAUCAGCACCUCUGUGAUGAGGUGCUCACUGCCAUCUUGUGGUGGGGGGGGGUCAUCUAAACCCAGAAGUGAUUGUCACGGUUGGCUUUCUAGAAUCUUUGCUGGAAUCACAUGUUGGGGAUCAUGUUCUCUAAAAGCAAAGCAUGAGGAGGUGAUUCAAGAGGUGCAUUGGGCCAGGCACAGUGGCUCACACCUGUAAUCCCAGCACUUUGGAAGGCUGAGGCAGGAGGAUCAACUGAGGUCAGGAGUUCGAAACCAGCCUGACCAACAUGGAGAAACCCGUUUCUACUAAAAAUACAAAAUUAGCUGGGCGUGGUGGUGCAUGCCUGUAAUCCCAGGUACUUGGGAGGCUGAGGAAGGAGAAUCACUUGAACCCGCGAGGCAGAGGUUGUGGUGAGCUGAGAUUGCGCCAUUGCAUUCCAGCCUGGGCAACAAGAGUGAAACUCCGUCUCAAAAAAAAAAAAAAAAAAAAAAAAGAUGCAUUGCAGGAGUGCGCUGGGGAGCUCGAGGAAAGCAGCGAAGACCAGAUCUGGCUGGAGACCCUCUUAAGUCUGAUCCCAGGGAGGCUCUGGAGCAUGCACCGCAGCACAGAAGGGGCCUCACCUUGGUCGCUCUUAUAUCUCUGUGCUAGCGUGUCCCUGGCUGUUGGCUGUUCUCAGGAAGGAGGUGAAUAGCAACCACCUGGACCAGGUGACUGCCCUUCAGCUGAGGUCAAAUCUCUGCAGGAAAAUCAUCUAUGAGGUAGGAAUGAGCAUCCUGGAGAAGGGGACCUGAGCAGUGCACCCACAGUAAUUCCUACACUGUGUAAAUGUCUUUAAAGAAAAGUCCAGGGCUGGGCAUGGUGGCUUAUGCUU